rnacentral:rRNA from 1 species
UUAAGCGACUAAGCGUACACGGUGGAUGCCCUGGCAGUCAGAGGCGAUGAAGGACGUGCUAAUCUGCGAUAAGCGUCGGUAAGGUGAUAUGAACCGUUAUAACCGGCGAUUUCCGAAUGGGGAAACCCAGUGUGAUUCGUCACACUAUCAUUAACUGAAUCCAUAGGUUAAUGAGGCGAACCGGGGGAACUGAAACAUCUAAGUACCCCGAGGAAAAGAAAUCAACCGAGAUUCCCCCAGUAGCGGCGAGCGAACGGGGAGGAGCCCAGAGCCUGAAUCAGUGUGUGUUAGUGGAAGCGUCUGGAAAGGCGCGCGAUACAGGGUGACAGCCCCGUACACAAAAAUGCACAUGCUGUGAGCUCGAUGAGUAGGGCGGGACACGUGGUAUCCUGUCUGAAUAUGGGGGGACCAUCCUCCAAGGCUAAAUACUCCUGACUGACCGAUAGUGAACCAGUACCGUGAGGGAAAGGCGAAAAGAACCCCGGCGAGGGGAGUGAAAAAGAACCUGAAACCGUGUACGUACAAGCAGUGGGAGCACGCUUAGGCGUGUGACUGCGUACCUUUUGUAUAAUGGGUCAGCGACUUAUAUUCUGUAGCAAGGUUAACCGAAUAGGGGAGCCGAAGGGAAACCGAGUCUUAACUGGGCGUUAAGUUGCAGGGUAUAGACCCGAAACCCGGUGAUCUAGCCAUGGGCAGGUUGAAGGUUGGGUAACACUAACUGGAGGACCGAACCGACUAAUGUUGAAAAAUUAGCGGAUGACUUGUGGCUGGGGGUGAAAGGCCAAUCAAACCGGGAGAUAGCUGGUUCUCCCCGAAAGCUAUUUAGGUAGCGCCUCGUGAAUUCAUCUCCGGGGGUAGAGCACUGUUUCGGCAAGGGGGUCAUCCCGACUUACCAACCCGAUGCAAACUACGAAUACCGGAGAAUGUUAUCACGGGAGACACACGGCGGGUGCUAACGUCCGUCGUGAAGAGGGAAACAACCCAGACCGCCAGCUAAGGUCCCAAAGUCAUGGUUAAGUGGGAAACGAUGUGGGAAGGCCCAGACAGCCAGGAUGUUGGCUUAGAAGCAGCCAUCAUUUAAAGAAAGCGUAAUAGCUCACUGGUCGAGUCGGCCUGCGCGGAAGAUGUAACGGGGCUAAACCAUGCACCGAAGCUGCGGCAGCGACGCUGAUGCGUUGUUGGGUAGGGGAGCGUUCUGUAAGCCUGCGAAGGUGUGCUGUGAGGCAUGCUGGAGGUAUCAGAAGUGCGAAUGCUGACAUAAGUAACGAUAAAGCGGGUGAAAAGCCCGCUCGCCGGAAGACCAAGGGUUCCUGUCCAACGUUAAUCGGGGCAGGGUGAGUCGACCCCUAAGGCGAGGCCGAAAGGCGUAGUCGAUGGGAAACAGGUUAAUAUUCCUGUACUUGGUGUUACUGCGAAGGGGGGACGGAGAAGGCUAUGUUGGCCGGGCGACGGUUGUCCCGGUUUAAGCGUGUAGGCUGGUUUUCCAGGCAAAUCCGGAAAAUCAAGGCUGAGGCGUGAUGACGAGGCACUACGGUGCUGAAGCAACAAAUGCCCUGCUUCCAGGAAAAGCCUCUAAGCAUCAGGUAACAUCAAAUCGUACCCCAAACCGACACAGGUGGUCAGGUAGAGAAUACCAAGGCGCUUGAGAGAACUCGGGUGAAGGAACUAGGCAAAAUGGUGCCGUAACUUCGGGAGAAGGCACGCUGAUAUGUAGGUGAAGCGACUUGCUCGUGGAGCUGAAAUCAGUCGAAGAUACCAGCUGGCUGCAACUGUUUAUUAAAAACACAGCACUGUGCAAACACGAAAGUGGACGUAUACGGUGUGACGCCUGCCCGGUGCCGGAAGGUUAAUUGAUGGGGUUAGCGCAAGCGAAGCUCUUGAUCGAAGCCCCGGUAAACGGCGGCCGUAACUAUAACGGUCCUAAGGUAGCGAAAUUCCUUGUCGGGUAAGUUCCGACCUGCACGAAUGGCGUAAUGAUGGCCAGGCUGUCUCCACCCGAGACUCAGUGAAAUUGAACUCGCUGUGAAGAUGCAGUGUACCCGCGGCAAGACGGAAAGACCCCGUGAACCUUUACUAUAGCUUGACACUGAACAUUGAGCCUUGAUGUGUAGGAUAGGUGGGAGGCUUUGAAGUGUGGACGCCAGUCUGCAUGGAGCCGACCUUGAAAUACCACCCUUUAAUGUUUGAUGUUCUAACGUUGACCCGUAAUCCGGGUUGCGGACAGUGUCUGGUGGGUAGUUUGACUGGGGCGGUCUCCUCCUAAAGAGUAACGGAGGAGCACGAAGGUUGGCUAAUCCUGGUCGGACAUCAGGAGGUUAGUGCAAUGGCAUAAGCCAGCUUGACUGCGAGCGUGACGGCGCGAGCAGGUGCGAAAGCAGGUCAUAGUGAUCCGGUGGUUCUGAAUGGAAGGGCCAUCGCUCAACGGAUAAAAGGUACUCCGGGGAUAACAGGCUGAUACCGCCCAAGAGUUCAUAUCGACGGCGGUGUUUGGCACCUCGAUGUCGGCUCAUCACAUCCUGGGGCUGAAGUAGGUCCCAAGGGUAUGGCUGUUCGCCAUUUAAAGUGGUACGCGAGCUGGGUUUAGAACGUCGUGAGACAGUUCGGUCCCUAUCUGCCGUGGGCGCUGGAGAAUUGAGGGGGGCUGCUCCUAGUACGAGAGGACCGGAGUGGACGCAUCACUGGUGUUCGGGUUGUCAUGCCAAUGGCACUGCCCGGUAGCUAAAUGCGGAAGAGAUAAGUGCUGAAAGCAUCUAAGCACGAAACUUGCCCCGAGAUGAGUUCUCCCUGACUCCUUGAGAGUCCUGAAGGAACGUUGAAGACGACGACGUUGAUAGGCCGGGUGUGUAAGCGCAGCGAUGCGUUGAGCUAACCGGUACUAAUGAACCGUGAGGCUUAACCU